AUUGAACGCUGGCGGCAGGCCUAACACAUGCACGUCGAGCGGAGCGGCGGACGGGUGAGUAAUGCCUAGGAAUCUGCCUGGUAGUGGGGGAUAACGUCCGGAAACGGGCGCUAAUACCGCAUACUAUCAGAUGAGCCUAGGUCGGAUGAGCUAGUUGGUGGGGUAAAGGCCUACCAAGGCGACGAGCCGUAACUGGUCUGAGAGGAUGAUCAGUCACACGGUAACAGAUACCUGGUCCAGCCUCCGACGUGAGGUAGCAGUGGGGAUGAUUGGACAAGGGGCGAAAGCCUGAUCCAGCCAUGCUGCGAGUGUGAAGAAGGUCUUCGGAUUGUAAAGCACAUUAAGUUGGGAGGCGUUACCAACAGAAGAAGCACCGGCUAACUUCGUGCCAGCAGCCGCGGUAAUAC
rnacentral:rRNA from 1 species